ensembl:miRNA
CAGGAUGAGGUAGUAGGUUGUAUAGUUCAGAGUAACACCAGGGGGGAUAACUGUACAGCCUCCUAGCUUUCCCUGAGGAAAC